GAUGAACGCUGGCGGCGUGCCUAAUACAUGCAAGUCGAGCGAACGGACGAGAAGCUUGCUUCUCUGAUGUUAGCGGCGGACGGGUGAGUAACACGUGGAUAACCUACCUAUAAUACUGGGAUAACUUCGGGAAACCGUAGCUAAUACCGGCUAAUAUUUUGAACCGCAUGGUUCAAAAGUGAAAGACGGUCUUGCUGUCACUUAUAGAUGGAUCCGCGCUGCAUUAGCUAGUUGGUAAGGUAACGGCUUACCAAGGCAACGAUGCAUAGCCGACCUGAGAGGGUGAUCGGCCACACUGGAACUGAGACACGGUCCAGACUCCUACGGGAGGCAGCAGUAGGGAAUCUUCCGCAAUGGGCGAAAGCCUGACGGAGCAACGCCGCGUGAGUGAUGAAGGUCUUCGGAUCGUAAAACUCUGUUAUUAGGGAAGAACAUAUGUGUAAGUAACUGUGCACAUCUUGACGGUACCUAAUCAGAAAGCCACGGCUAACUACGUG
rnacentral:rRNA from 1 species